UCCAAAGGCUUAUCUUGAACCUCUGGUCCAUUUCUCUUGAGCCACAGUCCAAUGCACUAGCUCUUAGUUGCUGCUGGAAAUACACUAAUUUUAAGGGAGAUUCAGAAAGAAUCCCAUGAGUAGCUUAACAUCCUACCUGGCAAUGAGCUAGAACCAAAGACCAUCUACAGAGGCCCUCAAACAGGACUUUAUAACUUGCCAGGGUAUGGAUUCCCUGUAUACUGUCCAGCCACACUGGUAUCAUCAAGUUAUGAAGAGGAUAAUUCCAGGAGAAGAGGAUCCAGGCAAGUCAUCCGUAUCAACAAAUCAUAUAACUAGUAUGGCUGAUCAAACGUUUAACUAUAGUGAUAAGUUCUUUUUCUCUCCCCUCUGAGUCAAAUAUUCAGUCACUUCAUUUCUCUAGAUCUCCUUGAAUUCAGGAGAGUUAAGAAACAGAUUGUAUGAGGAGAAAGGAAGAAAUAAGGAGGUUACUCAAAUUUGGAAAUACCUCUUUGGAAUAAGAAAAAGCAAAAAUGGUCAUGACUUCUUCCUUUCAAGCAAUAUGCUACCAUAUGUCUUGAGUUCUUGGAAUUUGGGGUCAUGGUUGGAACAAGGAAUAGGAUGGCUGGUCGGAUGCGUGAGUACCACAGAGAACUGGGGUUGUGGAGAAGUCCUGGAGCCUGGGAAGUCCCAAGUCAAGGCACUGGCAUCUGUGAAGCCCUUUUCCUGCAUCCUCCCUUGGCAGAAGGGCAAAGAAUGGACAAAAGAAAGCCAAAAGGGACCAAUUCAUUCUUUUAUAUGGAACUCAUUCCCACAACAAUGAAUGUACUCCAGUGAAAACAGCAUUAAUCCAUUGAUGAGGUCAAUGCCUCAUGACUCAACACCUCCCAUUAUGCUGCAGUGGAACUCAUGAUUCUCCUGCCUCAGUCUCCUGAUUAGCUGGCAUUAAUCCAGGUUUAUCCCCCCAUGCCUGCCAAUAGUGAUUAUUUAAAACAAAGAUUACCAUAUGUUACUUUCCUGAUUAAAAAUAUAUUGAUGCUUAUUUAUUGUAUUAGAGUAAAUCCUAAACUUUUCUCAUAUCAUCCAAAGUCCCUCACGGCCUCCUAUUUCUCCCACUGCACCUUGAUUCCUCAGAGAGCUGAUUCCUCCCCAUUUUUUGAGUCUCUGUUUAACUAUUUGUUUCUUUAAAAUGUAAAGAUCAGGAAGUUGACUUGUUUUAUUACUCUUAUUAUAGUACUUAUAAUCUCAUCACUUAACAUGAUGUGUGGCAUGUAGUAAGUGUUCAACAAACAUUUAUUGAAUGAAUAUCAAAAUUGUGGAAUAGAUUGCACGUAGAAUAAUAGUGAAAACCCCAAAUGAUAAUAUUAACAGGUAAUCAUUUAUGUCUAUCUCUU